rnacentral:rRNA from 1 species
GAGUUUGAUCGUGGCUCAGGACGAACGCUGGCGGCGUGCCUAAUACAUGCAAGUCGAGCGAGUCUGCCUUGAAGAUCGGAGUGCUUGCACUCUGUGAAACAAGAUACAGGCUAGCGGCGGGACGGGGUGAGUAACACGUGGGUAACCUGCCCAAGAGAUCGGGAUAACACCUGGAAACAGAUGCUAAUACCGGAUAACAACAGAUGAUGCCUAUCAACUGUUUAAAAGAUGGUUCUGCUAUCACUCUUGGAUGGACCUGCGGUGCAUUAGCUAGUUGGUAGGGUAACGGCCUACCAAGGCGAUGAUGCAUAGCCGAGUUGAGAGACUGAUCGGCCACAUUGGGACUGAGACACGGCCCAAACUCCUACGGGAGGCAGCAGUAGGGAAUCUUCCACAAUGGACGCAAGUCUGAUGGAGCAACGCCGCGUGAGUGAAGAAGGGUUUCGGCUCGUAAAGCUCUGUUGUUGGUGAAGAAGGACA